UUUCCAAAUCAGCAAAUGUGGGGCCGGCGCCAAUAAGGAUUCCAACGAUCCAUCCAAUACUCUGAUCGAAGAUCAGUCCAGCCAUCUAACCAACAAUGAAAGAAGAUGGUGUGUAUUGUGAAUUACAACGUACAGCACCUAACAGUUCCAGGACACCGAACAGCUCUACUGUACUUCCGACGUAUUGCUUCAAUGGUGUUUGAACAGGAAAACACAUCAGACAGCCAAUAGCUAAAUGCCAAGACAUAUAGUGGAAUUCAGUCUGGAGAAAAUAUGCAGCUGUUUGUAGGCAGAAAGAGAAGGUAAGAAAUGAUAAUCGCGACUUAGACAAAAUUAUAUAGAAC